CUGAAAACGUAUUUCUUUUGUUCGUACACCUUUGCAUAUGGUGUUACUGUUCGUAUGAGCUUAAAGCAUUGGUUUUGGUUUUAGAAGGUUAAUUCAAAGGUUACCCAAAUGGAAGAAAUAGCGGCAUGAGCACGAGAGAGAGGAAGAGAAGGCUUCAAUGCCAAAUCCAUAGGCCAUGAGAAGUAGACAAGGGGAAGAAGAGAAUCUGAGGCUCAAACGAAGUAACGGAAGAUAGAAUUUAAGAGGGGAGGCGAGAUUUCAAGGUGAGUAAUGGAGAAAGGGAGAAACCCUAAAUCCUAGACGAAUGGGAGGUUCUUUGGUGCGAGAGCAAGAGAGAAGAGCAGCAACACGUUUUGGAAAAAAAGGAAAAGAGGACACGAGACGGAGGAAAACCAUGAGCAACGGGCGCCGAAAGUGAGAACUGAGGUACUCGAAGAGUUUUCACUAUUUGGGUUUUAAUUGGUUGUUUGAAUAUGUUGCAACCUAUAUUUUCUCUUAAUACAUGCUUCCUUUUG